GCCCCGGUAGCCCAAUCGGCAGAGGCAGACGACUUAAAAUCGUCCCAGUCAGGGUUCGAGUCCCUGCCGGGGCACCC
rnacentral:tRNA from 1 species